rnacentral:rRNA from 1 species
CCUACGGGAGGCAGCAGUCGAGAAUCAUUCACAAUGGGGGAAACCCUGAUGGGGCGACGCCGCGUGGGGGAAUGAAGGUCUACGGAUUGUAAACCCCUGUCAUGUGGGAGCAAAUUAAAAAGAUAGUACCACAAGAGGAAGAGACGGCUAACUCUGCGCCAGCAGCCGCGGUAAUACAGAGGUCUCAAGCGUUGUUCGGAAUCACUGGGCGUAAAGUGUGCGUAGGCUGUUUUGUAAGUCGUGUGUGAAAGGCGCGGGCUCAACCCGCGGACGGCACAUGAUACUGCGAGACUAGAGUAUUGGAGGGGGAACCGGAAUUCUCGGUGUAGCGGUGAAAUGCGUAGAGAUCGAGAAGAACACUCAUGGCGAAGGCAGGUUCCUGGACAUUAACUGACGCUGAGGCACGAAAGCCAGGGGAGCGAAAAGGAUUAGAUACCCGAGUAGUC